UACGUAGGGGGCUAGCGUUGUCCGGAAUCAUUGGGCGUAAAGCGCGCGUAGGCGGCCCGAUAAGUCUGCUGUGAAAGUCCAGGGCUCAACCCUGGAAUGCCGGUGGAUACUGUCGGGCUAGAGUUCGGAAGAGGCAAGUGGAAUUCCUGGUGUAGCGGUGGAAUGCGCAGAUAUCAGGAGGAACACCAAUUGCGAAGGCAGCUCGCUGGGACGUAACUGACGCUGAGACGCGAAAGCGUGGGGAGCAAACAGG
rnacentral:rRNA from 1 species